UACGUAGGUGGCGAGCGUUGUCCGGAUUUACUGGGCGUAAAGGGAGCGUAGGCGGACUUUUAAGUGAGAUGUGAAAUACCCGGGCUUAACUUGGGUGCUGCAUUUCAAACUGGAAGUCUAGAGUGCAGGAGAGGAGAAUGGAAUUCCUAGUGUAGCGGUGAAAUGCGUAGAGAUUAGGAAGAACACCAGUGGCGAAGGCGAUUCUCUGGACUGUAACUGACGCUGAGGCUCGAAAGCGUGGGGAGCAAACAGGAUUAGAUACCCCGGUAGUCCCU
rnacentral:rRNA from 1 species